AAUGUAAUGAAAACAGAGAAUAAAGAGGAGAUGCUUUACCCUCCAUGGAAGUCAGGCAGAUAGAUCAGAUCAGAGAGCACAAGAGAGACAGAGAUAGGCGUGGAUAAUAUCUAAUAACAAGUCACAACAAUGAUAGACUGGGCUCCGGAGCUACUGGGAUUGAUUCUGUUUAUCCUACUCUCCCCGGGAGUGGUUUUUCAGUUACCGGGAAACCACCGACACGUGGAGUUCGGCAGUUUCACCACCAACGGAAAAGCCGUCAUCGUUCACACUUUGAUUUUCUUCGUCGUCUUCACCAUACUCAUUUUGGCUCUUCGAGUGCGAAUUUUCUUUGGCAUGUGAUGUCAAUCUUUUUCUUUUUACUAUAUUCCCAUUCCCAUUUCUUUUUCUUUUUUAAUUAUUAUUCAAUUCAAUACGUCGGGUUUUUAUAUAACAAUUAUAUUCUGUAAUAUAAUGGCAAAUUUAAUUUGUUAGUUGCCACACGUACUAGGAUUCGUAUUUUACUUGGAAUUGAAUAAUGAUUAUUAAUUGAUUAGUA